rnacentral:rRNA from 1 species
UACGUAGGGUGCAAGCGUUAAUCGGAAUUACUGGGCGUAAAGCGUGCGCAGGCGGUCAUGUAAGACAGAUGUGAAAUGCCCGGGCUUAACCUGGGAACUGCAUUUGUGACUGCAUGGCUAGAGUUUGGCAGAGGGGGGUAGAAUUCCACGUGUAGCAGUGAAAUGCGUAGAUAUGUGGAGGAACACCGAUGGCGAAGGCAGCCCCCUGGGUCAAGAUUGACGCUCAUGCACGAAAGCGUGGGGAGCAAACAGG